rnacentral:rRNA from 1 species
AUUGAACGCUGGCGGCAGGCCUAACACAUUUAAGUCGAGCGGAUGAAGGGAGCUUGCUCCUGGAUUCAGCGGCGGACGGGUGAGUAAUGCCUAGGAAUCUGCCUGGUAGUGGGGGAUAACGUCCGGAAACGGGCGCUAAUACCGCAUACGUCCUGAGGGAGAAAGUGGGGGAUCUUCGGACCUCACGCUAUCAGAUGAGCCUAGGUCGGAUUAGCUAGUUGGUGGGGUAAAGGCCUACCAAGGCGACGAUCCGUAACUGGUCUGAGAGGAUGAUCAGUCACACUGGAACUGAGACACGGUCCAGACUCCUACGGGAGGCAGCAGUGGGGAAUAUUGGACAAUGGGCGAAAGCCUGAUCCAGCCAUGCCGCGUGUGUGAAGAAGGUCUUCGGAUUGUAAAGCACUUUAAGUUGGGAGGAAGGGCAGUAAGUUAAUACCUUGCUGUUUUGACGUUACCAACAGAAUAAGCACCGGCUAACUUCGUG